CAGCUCAGGUUUCUCUUCAUUCACACACAAAUCUUUCGUCUUUUACUACAGAUUUCCGUGGAGGGGAACGUCGAUGAGUUCUUAUUUUUUAACACUCUGCUUUCACAGUGCU